rnacentral:piRNA from 1 species
CAGCAGCGUGUGGAAUUCAGUUCGGGGU